GCCAGAGUGACAUAGUGGUUUGAGCAUUGGACUAUAACUUUAGGGUCCGGGAUUCAAAUCCCUGCUCAGCCA